CAGCGCAAAUCUGGUAGAGGGGCUCC
rnacentral:piRNA from 1 species